UUAAUAGAAGCCAAAAAGAGGCUAUUCACUGUUAAUGAAUAAAUUGAUUUUUCCUAUUAAG
rnacentral:tRNA from 1 species